GGAGCCUUUCUCGCUCUCUGCAGCUGCCUGAGAGGGGCUGGAGUGAGGGGGGGGCUGGUCUCUGCUCCCAAGUCACCAGUGACAGGACGAGAGGGAACGGCCUCAGGCUGCGUCAGGGGAGGUUUAGGUUGGAUGUGAGGGAAAAUGCCUUCCCUGCCAGAGGGGUCAGGCCCUGGCACAGGCUGCCCAGAGAGGUGGGGAGUCACCGUCCCUGGGGGGGUUCAACCACCGUGUAGCCGUGGGACUUGGGGCCAUGGUUUAGGAGGCCUGGGGGUGUUGGGUUGGGGGUUGGACUUGAUGAUCCGAGAGGUCUUUUCCAACCUUAAUGAUUCUGUGAGUCUAUGGUGGUGGAGGUGGGAGAAAUGAAGGAUGUGAGGAGGGCCUUUCCUAGGAGCAGGGCACCCUGGGUGAUUAGGUCGGAAGGUACGAGACAGCCUGGACUGGCCAGCAGCAGUUUGACAGUUCUGUUGUACGUAGCUGGCUCACACCCCACAGAACAGCGUGGCUGGUGCCUCGUGGCCGACCGGUGUCUUGGGCUGUGACUCGGGAGGUGCUGAGCUCUGUACAGCCCACGCCUGAAUUGGGGCAUGGUCUUUUCUGUGUUGGUUCCUUGUCAGGACAGCAGAGAGAGAAAUUCUCGGAAGGAUGUUAUUUAUUGAUACAAAGACCUUGGGUUUGUAGUGUACCUGCCACAAUUGGUUCCUCUGGGUGAGGGAAGAUUUAAACAUGACAGGGUUUUGGUGGGAAUUUCUUCCUGGCCUCAGGCUGUGAGGGACAAAAAAUAACCAGCUGCGAGGGUGCACGCUGGGGAAGGGUCUCCAGGUGUACCUGUGGUGCUCGGCUUCCAGAACACAGGGGACCCUCUGGGGGUGUACCUCUGUGUCUGGAGAAGUGUUUAUGUUUCUUCAAGGUCUUUUUCAGAACCUGUUGGCAAUAUUACCAGAAUUGGAUCUAAAUUACUUGAAUUUUCAGUGAUCAUGGCCUCUGACAUGUAUUGCACGCACUGGGGCACCUCAGAAAAGGCAGGAAAGUGGGCAAAUGCCAUGGGUGUUUUGUGACUGCUUGGACCAACCCCCUGCCAGUGAAGAGUCUCGUCUUCGGGCUCAGCGCCUGCAGCAGCAGUUGCAGAGCAGCCGUGUCUCCAUGGGGCAGGCCUGUCUCAGAACGAGGGGUGGCAGCGGGGCUGUCAAACUACCGACCUUGACCCUGAGGAUGCAAAACAAAGCAAAAGGGAAUCUCAGACCGUGGCUUAAUCAGGAGUCCCUGACUGAGCCCUGAUUAACAGUGCUGCGGCUGUAUGAGAGACCGUGAAUAGCGGCGGGCUGCUGGAAAGUGAAGGAAGAGGCUCUCCUAUCAAAACAUGCCACCCAGACCGGGAGAUGAGGAGUCUUCGAGAGUCAGUGGUGCCCCUGAGUCGUGGUGGCGGGGCAUUGCCCCUGGUCCUGCCAGCAGCCGUUUGUUUGUUUUACGGCUAAGCGUUUCUUCUGAUGGCUCUCAGCAGGAAAAGACUUAAGAACAUCGUGUGUGUCCAAGGAGGAAAUAGCGGAGGGAAAGCAUAGGCAUUGUCUGGCGAGAGAGGGAGUUUUCCUCUGGGCGUUGUCUGGCUGUACAAGAGCUUUGUCAUAACGCAAUAUGCAAAAUCUGUAUUGCCUUUUCAGAGGAAGCUCAAGGAAGCUUCAGUAGCAUCGGAGUCAGAGCUGAGAAAACCAGUGACGACCUGGCAGUGUGCUGCUUCUGGCAGCUGGAGAGAAAGUUCUGAAGCACUUUGAAAUGGUACAGGAAUAAACCAGGAUAUGGUGCUCUUGUUUUAUGACCUGCAGUGUUAGGUUAUGAUGAGAGAUUGUGGAACUGCUUUCACUGAUAUUUUUAAAAUGGACUGAUAGCUACUGAACGUGCUCUGUCUGGGCCGCUUGAUCCUUUCCUAGCGCGCAGGUUUGGCCCUGAUGGCAUCCUGAAGUCCCUUCCAGACCUGCGUUUCUGUGCUUCCCACCGUGCUGUCAGGCACGGCUUGAUACAUCGGAAGCAUGAAGGUGUGGUGUGAUGUGGUGGGGAGGAGACUGGAGCGCUGGGGUCUGAGGGGGGCUGUCCUCUCCCAACUGGGCCCUGCCGGCUUUCAGGGACUCCCAGCUCCCUACGGAUGCUCCAGGGAGCAGCUUCUCGGCCUCUGGCCGUAGUGGGCUCCGCUCUGGGAGCGGACUUGCUCUCAGCCGUGCUCACCUGACAGUACAGUCAGUGCUGAAUUUGUUAGUCUGGUUUCUUAAUCCUGGCAAUACUGUAGAUAGUAGGAAUGACGCUGUAUUGAUGGUGAGUAUGCACUGGGGUCUAACUGUGCAGCAGAAAUUAAUUCAAACUGCAGCUCCUUUUUACUCUUGCUUAAUUAGACCUCUGUUCAUUGUUUUGUGGUCUCUGCGAGUGGCGUUCCUAUUGCCUGUCUGUCAUGCACCAGGUGAUCGGUUGCUUUAUCUGUACACCAGCCAUUCCCAAGCGCCAAACAUCUAUAGCACUGUGUGCUCAAACCAUUUUAUAUUUUAAUUGUUUAGUUAGACACUGAGGUACCUGCAUAUCCUCUGCUGUGCAGUGCCACAGAUGUCCCAGUUAGACCUUUGUUAAGGUGUUGAUACUUACUCAGUGUUUAGUAUUAACUGUCUGGUCAUCUUCAUCAGCUCAUUACUUCACUUGCAAUACUGUUUUUCUCCAGUCAGUCCUGUGCUUGUAAGAAGUGGCCCCGCAGAAGAGCCAGGAGCGCCUUGCCAGUCCACCCCGCUCCGUACUCGGGGCUGCAGCCUCCCCCGGUGCGACAGAUGCGCUUGACCUUGACCACACUGGCAGUGGUUUGCUGCAGACUCCAGAGGAGGUAAAGGCCUGAGCCGUAACUGGGGCCAAGAACUUGGCUAGUUCCAGUCUGCUCCCUGAUAACCCACAACGGAGCAGAGCGAUGCAGCGAGCAUCCGUGCUACGAGCUUGGAACGCCCAUCAUGCGAGUAACACGUGAACAGCCAGUGGCUUUUCCGAGACUUGUUUAUCAAGGAACAAAGAAAGUUGUGGGUGCAACAACUGCACACCUUUUCCGUGACGUGUAAAUUGAGGACAAGGCAACCCCUUUAUUCCACAGAUACGGCAGCCUCAGCGAGCCACCUUUGAGCUCUCCUGGCUAAGCAGCUGGCUGCGUGGCGGUGAUCUCCCCUUGAGCUGGGACACCCUCAGGGUUGUGCCUCAAGGCAGAGAGACCUUUCACCAAUGGCAGACCUUUGGUAAGCAACCGGUGCUGUGCAUAACCUUGUAGUAUGGUAACUUUGGUUUUGUGUCUUGGUAACUUUGAUUUUGUGUCUUGGUAACUUUGAUUUUGUGUCUUGGUAACUUGGUAGUUUUGAAUCAUUGUUCAAAUGAUUGUGCAGUACAGUAAUAGAGCAAACCUUGCCAUCGAACUUUACAGCGUCUCAUUAAACCCACUUUUGCCAAUA